rnacentral:rRNA from 1 species
UACGUAGGGUGCGAGCGUUGUCCGGAAUUAUUGGGCGUAAAGAGCUCGUAGGCGGUGUGUCACGUCGGCCGUGAAAACCUGCAGCUUAACUGUGGGCGUGCGGUCGAUACGGGCAUCACUGGAGUUCGGCAGGGGAGACUGGAAUUCCUGGUGUAGCGGUGAAGUGCGCAGAUAUCAGGAGGAACACCAGUGGCGAAGGCAGGCUC